AUUUGGUCUGGGCGUUCGACCCACCAAUCUUUGUUUAUUCUGCUCAUAAUUUGUGGACAACAGCCAAAGGCUGGACGGUCACCGCCACUGUUUGCAGAUGCACUGCGGCGGUUCGUAGCCGAGUGUGAAGCAGCUGGGAUGAAGUGCGGAGCUUCCUGUAUCUGUGUUCAGGAAUCAGGGGUGGGACCAAUGACUGUAGAAAACAUGGACGAUGCCACCCCGCCUCCUCCUAUUGUGCAAAAAUGAAGCCAAAAUAUCCCGCUUGUGGAGGCUGCCAUCUUGCAUUUUUGGAGCCAGAGUCUGCGCAGUAGUGACCUGAGGUGGAGCGACUGUGUAACGCUCCCGCCCACACACCCGCUGGACGUGACCGCAAACACGCCCCCCUACACUUUUUACGUAGCCCGGCGACUCCAGUUUUUUGCUGGUUUAUCGCGACUGACGACUCGUUUAAUUAAGAGUCCAUAUUAUAUGAACAGCUACAUUCACCCUGGAGAGAAACUAGUGAGGGAGACCAUCAGGACCAAGCUGGGUUUCUGGGUCCAGAGGUUUGGAGAAACUUCUUCCCUUUCUUUCAUCACAGCUGUCCUGUGACAGAAGUUCUGUUGACCCACUGAGAGAGGCUUCAUUUAAGAAACACCAGGAAGACUGAAGCUCAUCGCAUUGAUCAAGCAGGACUCAUGAUCUUCACCAGCAGCUCCCUCACAGGGAAAUCUUCAGCACUCCUCCGUAGGCCCGCCCCAGAAGAUGGAUAAACCCAGCAUUUCAUCAACACUGUGAUGGGGACCUUUGCUUUGUGUAAUGUUAUAAAUACUCAGAUACUCCCCAGAGGCUCUGGACUUUUACAUAAAGAUAUUAUAUUCAGUCCUGUAGAAAGUUAUAUAUUUAAAAAUAUAUGAUCCUCUCUGGUAUGAAUAACUCUGCAUCACUUUAUGGUAAAUAACACUAUCUGCAAAAAACUGUGAAAGAACUCCAGAUCACAAGUUUGUAGUUCAACAUACAAGUGACGACCUUUGACCUUCAUCAGGUUUUAUUUAAUUCUGUCAGAGAAAAUCUCAUAUGCUCUUCAUGCAGCUGAGUACAUCAAGUGUUUAAAACGGAAGCUGUGCAGGUCUGAGAUCAGCAGCUUUGUGAAACACCAAACUGAGGUCCUGUUAAUGCUGAUAUAUAGUGACACAGUUACAG
ensembl:lncRNA